rfam:Callithrix jacchus chromosome 14, whole genome shotgun sequence
AAAAGGGUUUUCUUUAAAACCAGCCAAUUUUUCUUUAAAAAAAGUGU